GAUGAACGCUAGCGGGAGGCUUAACACAUGCAAGUCGAGGGGCAACAGGAGUAGCAAUACUUGCUGGCGACCGGCGCACGGGUGAGUAACGCGUAUGCAACCUACCCAUAACAGGGGGGAUAGCUUUCGGAAACGGAAAUUAAUACCCCAUAGAAUUCACAGGUCGCAUGGCCCAUGGAUUAAAACUACGGUGGUUAUGGAUGGGCAUGCGUGCCAUUAGCUAGUUGGCGGGGUAACAGCCCACCAAGGCAACGAUGGCUAGGGGGUCUAAAAGGAUGAUCCCCCACACUGGUACUGAGACACGGACCAGACUCCUACGGGAGGCAG
rnacentral:rRNA from 1 species